GCGGACGUAGCUCAGCUGGUAGAGCAUCGGCUUCCCAAGCCGAGAGUCGCGGGUUCGAGUCCCGUCGUCCGCU
rnacentral:tRNA from 1 species